UAGUUCAGUUGGUAAAUCAUCUGCCUGCAAUGCAGAAGACCCAGGUUCAAUUCCUGG
rfam:TPA: Bos taurus chromosome 1, whole genome shotgun sequence.